AUGCAUGCUCUAAGAGGAGCUAGUAGGGCAUAUUUAAUCGUCCUGUAUUUUCAACAGAUUCAUUUUUUUCUUUCAGGCUCCACAUAUCAAAAUGAGAUAAGAAAAGUUUCAGCUAAGAAGAAAAAUGGCGGCCAUUUGCAAAACAGCCAAAGAAAUGGUAAUGAAAAUCGUGGAUACAUUCCGGAGGAGCCAAAGUACACAGAACACAUCCCAAGAAUUGUCUCACUUCCCCCAAUGACUUCCAAGUUUACUGUCCCUGAUCCAGAGUCAUAUACCAGCUCUGCAUCAAAGGUGCAGCCUCAAAGAAGUACUGAUGGUCCGAUCAGCCCAAAGAAAAUCAGAAACGUGACACAUGUUUAGGAUGUACUUCUCCAGGAAAAGUCCUCUGUCAGCUGCAUGUUACACGUUUGGAUGGCUUCCUACAACAAAGAAAGGUCACCACCAGUUCUGUCAUUUUAAGCUGCAGGUUAUUUUUUGUUUAUUUUUCAUUAAUGAAAUGAAAUUGCAACCUUUACCAUGUAGCAUAUACUAUCUCAGCAAAAUAAUGGACAUGAAUGACAACCUUAAAUUCAGAGGCAAUGAAUUUCAUAGGACGCUAGAAUCCGUGCUUUGGGUCCCAAGGAAGCCAGCAAAACUCCUUAUUGGGCAGAUAUCUUUGGUUAUCCACAGCAAGGGCAAGGACUGUAACUGUUAGAGAUUUAUUAGUUCAGAAAAGCUAGUUAACAAUAAUACUGAUUGAUACAAUACCUGCUGCAUUUUUAAAAUUUACUUUAUGUACAACUGAUCCUCUUAAGCUCGUAAAUCAAGAACACUUUUCAAUUUCUGUUUUGUAAUAAAAUCAAGGGAAAUUUUCA
rnacentral:lncRNA from 1 species